rnacentral:lncRNA from 1 species
UUACUUUUCAUUACAGUAAAAAUAUUUGCUACAUUUUUGCUCCUACUAUAUAUAUAUAAAGAGAGAGAGAGAGUCUGGCUACUAUACUUUUAUAAAUAUAGACCAUUUUGUACUCAUAAGUUUUUAGCCGUUAAAUUUAUCUCUUUAACUAUUUUCAUCCGUUAAAUCAUACUAUUGCAUCCCUUCAUUCAACGACCGAAAAUUUAUGAAUAUAAAGAGGACUAUACUCGAAAGAGUAUAUGUAUAGUUUUAGGGUUAAAUCAUAUAUAAAUUACUUAGC